UUUCCGUAGGUGAACCUGCGGAAGGAUCAUUACAGAGUUCAUGCCCUCACGGGUAGAUCACCCACCCUUGAAUAUUUAUACCUUAGUUGCUUUGGCAGGCCGUGGAAACACCAUGGGCUCCGGCUUAUGCGUGCCUGCCAGAGGAAACAAACUCUGUUUUUAGUGAUGUCUGAGUACUAUAUAAUAGUUAAAACUUUCAACAACGGAUCUCUUGGUUCUG
rnacentral:misc_RNA from 1 species